rnacentral:rRNA from 1 species
AGCGAACGUUAGCGGCGGGCCUAACACAUGCAAGUCGAACGCGAAAGGUCUUCGGACUGAGUAGAGUGGCGCACGGGUGAGUAACACGUAGGUAAUCUACCCUUUGGCGGGGGAUAACGUUCCGAAAGGAGCGCUAAUACCGCAUAAGACCACGGAGUCUCCGGACGCUGUGGGAAAAGGUGGCCUCUUCUUGAAAGCUACCACCGAAGGAUGAGCCUGCGUCCCAUCAGCUAGUUGGUAAGGUAAUGGCUUACUAAGGCGAAGACGGGUAGCUGGUUUGAGAGAAUGAUCAGCCACACUGGCACUGGAACACGGGCCAGACUCCUACGGGAGGCAGCAGUGAGGAAUAUUGGGCAAUGGGCGAAAGCCUGACCCAGCCACGCCGCGUGAGUGAUGAAGGCCCUCGGGUCGUAAAGCUCUGUGGAGAGGGACGAAAACCCUGGUUUCAAAUAGGCUCCAGGCUUGACGGUACCUCUUUAGCAAGCACCGGCUAACUCUGUGCCAGCA